GCCAGCAGCCACAUCACUCUACAUCUCACAGCUGACAACCCACUGAAGCUAAGCAGGUGUGAGCCUGGUCAGUACCUGGAUGGCAGACCUCUGGGGAAAAAAAUAAGGUUGCUGCUGGAA
rnacentral:rRNA from 1 species